rnacentral:lncRNA from 1 species
CUCUCCCUCCCUCUCUCCCUCCCUCCCUCUCAUGACUCUGCCUUUUGUUAAAGGUGUUCCAUCAAGCCAAGACCCAUGGGAGUUAAUCUUCUCUGACACCUUGGGGCACUGUUUUUUUUCUUCCCCUUGCCCGACAUCUGCAGCCUCAGCCUCCAUCUUUCAGAGCCUGCUCUGCUACACCCCUGCCCCCCAGCACUCUGCAGGGCCCAGCUAUAGCAAUGGUGGAUGACAUCCUCUCAUGAGCUCAGCAGUCACACAUUCUCUAAGGUGAAAUACAGAGCUUGUCCCCAUUCCAAAGACAGAAUUUGUGACAUUAUUUUGGCAUUGUCAAGGCCAACAACCUCAGCCACCCACAUCCUUGGUGAUGAUAAACAUUUCUUUACUGGGAUGAAAUUUUGUCUCUGCCGCUGUUUGAUGCUUCAUAAUUGGCCAACAAAUCUUUGUGGGGUUGAUUUGAGUGAGCCAUAAGGCUGUCGCUGCUGAGAAAGAUGUCAGUGGCAGAGAAGGCCACCAGAGCAGAGCGGUCUCCCGGUCUCCUGCUACCCUCAGAGCGCUCCACACAUGAACGCCAGGGGAACCAAGUCCUUAGUGCAAAGCAAAAGAGAGGAAGAGCCCAUUAUUCUUUUGCCUCGAAGGAGAUGGUCUGCAGUGCAUCUUGCCAACAGCGGAGCUUACCAGGCGCCUAUCUCCCUUUCCCCGCCAAUCCUCACCUGGAGACCAGGCAAGGGUGCAGCACCACCAAUUACUCCAAGCGUGGCGAAGACAAGCAGGCAGCUAAUUGAAUUUGAUUCACUGAGAUGGCAACCAAUUUUACGCCAGAGCUGACAGAGCCUCUCAGUGAACCUACUGCUCGCUGGAGUAGACUGGUUGCCAGAAUGUUCCAGGUCCACCCUUCUCUGCCUUCUUCCAGAGCUGGAGUCCCAGGUACACACUGUUACACCAGCUUGUUACAAGAGUCCUGGAGGUCUGGAUUCAGGUGUUCAUGUUUCUAGAACAAACCCUUUAGUGACUAAGCUGUCUUCCCAGCCUGAGAUAUGUAUAUUUAUUCACAUGCAUGCAGACUUGCCUUAUAAAAAAGUCAAGAGACGUGUUGCAUCAAGGAGUAUAGUUCCUCUAGUCGUAAAACCUAUACUUUUCAAUCCUACAAUGUAUGUUGAGCAUUUAAGUAAGAAAAGUGUGUAUGAUUGUGUGUAUGAGUGUGUGUGUGUGUAUGAGUGUGUGUGUGUGUGUGUGUAUGUGUGUACACAAGCCCUAUUUUAUACUCUCAGGAUACCUGGAGUAGGUAUUGCUUUUAUCUUUCUUGUGGAAAAAAGAAUCAAAUGCACAAAGAAGUGAAGCUGUCUCCAGGCAUGAUGUGCCAUCAGGAGCCACUCAGGUGUCUAGGUGGUGACACCAGAGCGUGUUCUUUAGCCCUCUUGCUAUGUCCUAACUGAAAAACAACAACUCCAUGGGCCAGACAGCCAAUGAUUCUCAGUGAGAACCUGCUACAGUGUGAGUCAGAAAUGUCCCUCACAGUCCUGAUAAAGGCUUGGUCACCAGCCUGUGGAGCUAUUGGAAGCUGUAGGACCUGGAGAAGGAUAUUUGGUCGUUGGGGACAUACCCUGAAGGGGUCACUGGGUUGCUGGAAACUGCUCAGUAGCUCAGGCUGGCCUGGACCUUGCCACGUAGUGAUGGGGAACCUCAACUCUCUGAUUCUACCUCUCACACGCCACUAUUACAGGCUUGUGUCACCAUCCCUGGUUUUAUGUGGUACUGGGGAUGGAGCCUAUGGCGCUGGCAAGCUCUGCCAAUGGAACCACCUUCCCGGACAUCCUCUUUCUCUUUUAUUCUAUUUCUAUUUUACCCUGGCUGUCAUAAAGGCAGCAGCCUUCUUUGCCAUGUCCUCUGGCCACGAGGCACCAUGCCACUGCAGCACAAAGUAAAACGGCCAGUAACCACCACCCGCGUGUUCUGGAAUCAAAGUCAGCCUGUCUGCUGGCCGUAGAUGGGGCACAAGAGCC